rnacentral:rRNA from 1 species
CCUACGAGUGGCAGCAGUGGGGAAUCUUGCACAAUGGGGGGAACCCUGAUGCAGCGACGCCGCGUGGGUGAAGGAGUAUUUCGGUAUGUAAAGCCCUAUCAGCAGGGAAGAACAAUGACGGUACCUGACUCAGCAGCACCGGCUAAAUACGUGCCAGCAGCCGCGGUAAUCCGGAGGAUGCGAGCGUUAUCCGGAUUUAUUGGGUUUAAAGGGUGCGUAGGCGGACUGUUAAGUCAGCGGUAAAAGCCCGGGGCUCAACCCCGGCGAGCCGUUGAAACUGGCUGUCUUGAGAUGUCGAGAGGUAUGCGGAAUGCGCAGUGUAGCGGUGAAAUGCUUAGAUAUUGCGCAGAACUCCGAUUGCGAAGGCAGCAUACCGGCGGCGAUCUGACGCUGAGGCACGAAAGCGUGGGUAUCGAACAGGAUUAGAUACCCUUGUAGUC